rnacentral:rRNA from 1 species
CCUACGGGGGGCUGCAGUGGGGAAUAUUGGACAAUGGGGGGAACCCUGAUCCAGCCAUGCCGCGUGUGUGAAGAAGGCCCUCGGGUUGUAAAGCACUUUCAGUGAGGAAGAACGCCUGGUGGUUAAUACCCAUCAGGAAAGACAUCACUCACAGAAGAAGCACCGGCUAACUCCGUGCCAGCAGCCGCGGUAAUACGGAGGGUGCGAGCGUUAAUCGGAAUUACUGGGCGUAAAGCGCGCGUAGGUGGCUUGAUAAGCCGGUUGUGAAACCCCCGGGCUCAACCUGGGAACGGCAUCCGGAACUGUCAAGCUAGAGUGCAGGAGAGGAAGGUAGAAUUCCCGGUGUAGCGGUGAAAUGCGUAGAGAUCGGGAGGAAUACCAGUGGCGAAGGCGGCCUUCUGGACUGACACUGACACUGAGGUGCGAAAGCGUGGGUAGCAAACAGGAUUAGAUACCCGUGUAGUC